ACUUGGAAAAAAUUAUACUAAGCAAAGUAAGCCAGACGCAAAGAAACAUGGGUUCCAUGGUUUCCCUCGUUUGUAGUAAUUAAAAUGUGCCUAUAAAUCUACUAGUAAACAUAAUGGAUGGUAAAGGAAAAAUUAUACUUGCACAUGAUAAACUAAACAGGACUCUAAAUAUUUACGCAGUGAGACCAAAGAAGGCUAUUCUCAGGAGAG